rnacentral:rRNA from 1 species
AUUGAACGCUGGCGGCAGGCCUAACACAUGCAAGUCGAGCGGAUGAGAAGAGCUUGCUCUUCGGUUCAGCGGCGGACGGGUGAGUAAUGCCUAGGAAUCUGCCUGGUAGUGGGGGACAACGUCUCGAAAGGGACGCUAAUACCGCAUACGUCCUACGGGAGAAAGCAGGGGACCUUCGGGCCUUGCGCUAUCAGAUGAGCCUAGGUCGGAUUAGCUUGUUGGUGAGGUAAUGGCUCACCAAGGCGACGAUCCGUAACUGGGCUGAGAGGAUGAUCAGUCACACUGGAACUGAGACACGGUCCAGACUCCUACGGGAGGCAGCAGUGGGGAAUAUUGGACAAUGGGCGAAAGCCUGAUCCAGCCAUGCCGCGUGUGUGAAGAAGGUCUUCGGAUUGUAAAGCACUUUAAGUUGGGAGGAAGGGCAGUCAGCGAAUACCUGGUUGUUUUGACGUUACCGACAGAAUAAGCACCGGCUAACUCUGUGCCAGCCGCCGCUGUAAUAC